CCACCACCACAACCCAUACACCACACCACACCAUAAAUUCACAAAACCACCAUGUAUAUUCGCACCACCACCACCACCACUCUACAGGCCUACAUCGCACCACCCUUUCACCCAAAUCUAACAAAAGCAUCACCAAUGCGUAGAUCCUCACCAACAUUCCUUCUCUUGUAGCAGUAGUGACACCGUCGACGUAGCGAGAAGAUUCUCCACAUCGCUGUCACGAGAAGCACUCGCCACUGCUAGCGGCAACAGCAAUAUCGUCGACGACGAGAAGCUUCAUCACCGCAUCACUGCCAACUAUUGCUUGCAGCAGUAGUGACGCGGUUGAUACGACUGCUUGCAGUAGUGACGUUGUCGACAUGGCAAGCAAUAUUAGCGCCUCUAACCCAACGAGAAGCUCCCUCGCAACGGGUGAUUUUGGAUAUGGUUGGUUGGGGUGGACGAGUGCAUGGGUGUGUGG
rnacentral:lncRNA from 1 species